rnacentral:rRNA from 1 species
CCUACGGGUGGCACCAGUAGGGAAUCUUCCGCAAUGGACGCAAGUCUGACGGAGCAACGCCGCGUGAGUGAUGAAGGUUUUCGGAUCGUAAAACUCUGUUGUUAGGGAAGAACAAGUACCGGAGUCACUGCCGGUACCUUGACGGUACCUGACGAGAAAGCCACGGCUAACUACGUGCCAGCAGCCGCGGUAAUACGUAGGUGGCAAGCGUUGUCCGGAUUUAUUGGGCGUAAAGCGCGCGCAGGCGGUCUUUUAAGUCUGAUGUGAAAUCUUACAGCUUAACUGUAAGCGGUCAUUGGAAACUGGGAGACUUGAGUGCAGAAGAGGAGAGUGGAAUUCCAUGUGUAGCGGUGAAAUGCGUAGAGAUAUGGAGGAACACCAGUGGCGAAGGCGACUCUCUGGUCUGCAACUGACGCUGAGGCGCGAAAGCGUGGGGAUCAAACAGGAUUAGAUACCCUUGUAGUC